AUUUUGGGUUUUUAGAGGUGUUUUCGAUCUGUUUUAGUAAGGUUUUAAGGUGUUUUGGGUAAAUAUUGAGUGCUAGAAGUGUCUUUUGUGAGUAUUUUGGAUGUUUUAAGUGUGUUUAGCAGUAUUGCAGGGUGUUUUAAGUGUGUUUAGCAGCGUUGCAAGGGGAUUUGAUUUUGAGUGUGUUUAGUAGUGUUGCAGGGUGUAUUGAGUGUGUUUAGGUGUUGCAGGGUGUCUUGAGUGUGUUUAGCAGUGUUACAGGGUGUUUUGAGUGUGUUUACCAGUGUUGCAUGGUGUUUUGAGUGUGCUGGGUAUAUAUAGAAUGUCUUUUAUGAAACAUUUGAGAUUGUUUAGUGUGCAUUAGAUAUUUAAGUUGUAUUUUUACGUAUCUUGACUGUGUUGUGUGAUGUUUUGUGUGCUUUUCAAGUGUUGUGGUGUGUUGAAGGAAAAAUCCUUUAUAUUUAGUGGUCUCCCUUACAGUCUUGCCAUUCUUUGCAAUGUUAGGUGCUGUAAGUGUAUUCUAGUGUGCAUUUUAGUUGUUUUGAGUGUUCAGCAGCGGUGCAGGGUGUCCUAAGCAUGUGUUGGGUAUAUACUGACCCUAGUAGAGAUGGAGACGAGUAAGAAAAGGUUAAUAGAGAGAUUUAUAGUGCGUUGAUUCACAUGCCGCUCAGUACGUGGCAAACCUACCUCUCCUUGUUGGUGCAUUGAGGUGACUGGUGGUGGUAAGAAAAUAAGGAAUAUCUAGAAAAAAAAAAGAGAAAGAUAUCAAUGAAAUUAGAUCGUAUGGAUUAUUAGUGGUAGUAACGGUAGCAACUGCAACUUUGAGUCAACCGCCACAUAUGCCCCAGCUGAUCUCAAGACCCCUAGUAGACCCCCAACAGACCCAUGUAAAUUGUAGAGUCGGAGGUUAGCCUUUGCAACGCCCCUCCCCCUGAUGUGGUUUCCUCACUUUCGUUGUAGGUUUAUAUAUUUUCUCUUUUUCUCACAAUGAACUUUUAUCUAUAUUUUCCUUUUUUUCAUUAUCAUUUGUCCUAUUUUUUUCCUUUUCUUUUUGUAUCGACUGUUAGUUGUUUUAGCUAUAUUUCUCCUAUUUUUCCCUUUUUUUUUUCGUUAUCAGCAUUUUCCUCUAUCCUCCUUUGCUUUCACUCAACUGUUUUCCCAUAUCCUCCUUUCCUUUCACUAUCAACUACCAACUUCAUAAUUUUUUUAACAAUCAACUUUUAUCAAUUUUCUCCCUUUCUUUCAUCACCAUUUUUUUUUUUUUCAUAUUUUCUCCUUUUCUUACUCAGCAUCAUCACCAUCAGCAACGUGAGGUGUUGAUGGUGAUAGUGAGGCAAGCUUCUUACUGUUCCGGCACUGACACGACACACUGACAGGCUGGUGUGAGGGUGAGGGUGUCUUGGUGUAUCUACCUGUGUGUCACCUGCGCCACUAACAACGAGCGAUGUUUCUGGUGGUGGAACUCUGCCGCUCCUAGGAAGUGAUGGUGGUUCCUGAGUCAUGGACCAGUGGAAGAUGGAACAGCAUAUAUACUUUUGCCACCCUACCAGUCCGCUAUGCAGCUGGAGAGCGCCAUCUGCUCCCAGGAGGCCCCCGGCGAGGAGUGGGUCAGCCAUUCUAGUCAAACCAUCCACACAGCAGACUUUCGACAUGGCUUGAUGCAGCACAAUCCAAGUUUUGCAGCAGUGGAUCGUCAGUAACAACUCUGUGGCAGUGCGUCGCUCCGAGAGGCUCAAGAGGAGGACCAACCCCGUUCAGCCUCCUAAUGACACUCCAGCAGGUGUGGCACCCAGGGAGCCUCUACCACCACCACAACCUGUACGGAGAACCCUCAAGUUGCGUCAAUUCCAACCACCACCACCAUCACCACCAUAGCGUACAAGAAGGUCACAGCGCCCACAGCCACCAUCCAUGCGCAGGUCACAGCACCCACGACCCAAACCUUUGUUGCCAACCUCCCGCAGAGUGGUGGUGGCCAUGGGUCGGCUUCACAAGUCCCUGUGUGGAAUUGCCUAAUGUCGCAGACAAACAGAUUCAGUACCUUGGUGUCACGCUACCCCUGAUCAACGUUUUUCCUGAUCAACGUUUUUAAGAAUUAUGUGGUGCAGCACUCGGAGAUCUUGAACAGGAUAAUGGAGAAGGUGCCGGCCUCACCAACUGCCAGAGCUGCUUAUGCAAGUCAUCCUACAGUUUGUGGAGAGUGACCGAGGUAGAGACAGUGGGGAUGAGGAAGAGGAGUCCACCGUUCCAAGAGAGGAGUGAGGCAGUGUUGACUCAUCCAGCACCGGUGUGGGAUCUAACAAGUGGGAGAAAAUAUUUACUUCACGAACAAAGCUGCCAUGCCAUCCACUAUGCUACAGGGAAGACAAGAGGAGCCACUCUGUGCAUGUUAUGACCCCAGAGUUCCCCGGGACGUCCUGCCACUCCCCAGGAUGGAAGAGUUUCAUGUACUGCAUCAGAAUAUAAACAGUGAAUCCAAAGUUAAAACCAUUACUUUACAAUAUAAUCUAGUAAUAAAUAAACAUUUUUUAAGCAAUUUGUCUUUUUUUUUUUUUGGAUGCUUAUAUUCACUAACCCUUUGACUGCCUUGGUGCACCUUUUCCCAACAACUGAUAACAGAAAUUGCUGCUGCUUUCAAAAAUAGGGAUUAAACUAGAUGACUCACAGGCAAUACACAGAUAUUCACCUUCAGAAACAAUGUAUUCCUUGCAUCCCAGUGGCUUGUCCUCUCAAUCUUCCUGCUUCACAAAUCCACUUACAUAACAUUCUCACAAGACAUGC
rnacentral:lncRNA from 1 species